CCCAUCUAGAGGACACGCAGAAACAGCACCCUCCUGGAGAAAGGGCCCCACUCAGCCUGCCCUGGCCUUGCUGGAGGUGGGGCUUUUCGGGAAAAGAACGAGGAGGCUGAAGACAGGAAAGCCAGCGGGUGGGGAGGCUGGGACCCUGGGGGAGGGGUGGGAACAUUGUGAAGGCCACACCCCAAGCCCUGGGGCCCUGUAUUGGGUCUUUGUUGCAUUGCUAUAAAGAAAUACCUGAGACUGGGUGAUUUAUAAAGGAGAGAAAUUCGACUGGCUCAUGGUUCUGCAGGCCGUACAGGAAGCCUGGUGCUGGCAGAUCUGCUUCUAGGGAGUUCUCAGGAAGCUUCUGGUCAUGGUGGAAGGCAAUGCGGAGCCAGCGAGUCACAUGAUGAGACCCCGAGCAAGAAAGAGAGGCCGGGAGGUGCCACACUCUACAACAACCAGAACGUGCCUGUGUAAUCAGAACCCAGAAAAGGGAAAAGAGCAUUCUUCACCACACAGAAGUCCUGGUGACAGUCUUUCUAGUUAUCGGCCCACUGCAAGGGUAACCCUAUCCAAACUGCGUUGAUUAGGUUUUCAUAUUUCAUAGAAAUGGAUUCAUACACUACUUGCUCUUUUGUGUCUGGAUUUUUCAUCAUGCAACAUUAUUUCUCAACCUGGAGCUGUGCGGACUGAGACUGAGAUGCAUCGCUGAAACUCUCUUUAGGUGUUCCCUACCAUUUCUUCUUGGAAAAGAAGGUUUUACCUCCUGGGAUUUUUGAGAACCUCUAACUUCUCCAUUGGGGACCAUCUCCAGGUACCACCAAAAAAGAGCACAACAGCAGCCUUGCGGAUAAGUCCUGGUCUGGAGUCAGCCACCGCUGCACACACCACUCAGAGCUGCAUCAUCGGGUUACCCCUGGAAAGGCUGCCCACACACCCACAUCCAGGGGUGUCUCGUCACUGCUGACGACUAGCACGGUGAAUGUUCUGCUUCGUGGAGAGACUAUCAGAGCUGGAAUAUCCAUAGGCUUAUAAUCUUCAUGAAUACUUCCUCUCUCAAUUGCCGUGAAAUAAUAUGGCUCCUCAGUCCAUGAAGCUGGCAUCAAUAACUGAAAUAGGCUCGGAAAAGUCCGGGCAAGAGGAACCUGAAAGCUCAGCAUGAGAUGAAGUGGCUGGAGGCACGUGAGUCCUGCACUGAUAGAGGCCGGUUCUGUCAAGCCUCACCUGGAUGAUGUGUGUGACUCUUCCCAUAGAAAGGAGCAGGCUCUCUCAUGAAGCCUCCAUUCUAGCAUUUUGUGAUCAUCUAUGACCUUAGAGGGGUCCUCUAUAACCCUGAGUCCCAAACAGGUGAAUACAGAGUGGGCUCACACUUAUUUCUCCAUUAUUCCUGUGUUCUUUCAGGAGGCUGACCAUCAAACCUACUUAGAAGUCAGACCUUGAAUGUAAGUACAUGUUGUUCAUUAUCUAUAUCUUUUGCAUGACAGAAUGUCAGUUAUAGGAUAAAUAACAGAGGGUAGGCUGUGUACCAAGUCAUGGUGACAACAAUACAAAGCAAGGCUGGGCGCGGUGGCUCAUGCCUGUAAUCCCAGCACUUUGGGAGGCUGAGGAGGGUGGUUCACGAGGUCAGGAGUUCGAGACCAGCCUGGCCAACAUGGCGGAACCCCAUGUCUACUAAAAAUAGAAAAAUUAGCCAGGCGUGGGUCACAUGACUGUAGUCCCAGCUACUCAGGAGGCUGAGGCAGGGGAAUUGCUUGAACUUGGGAGGCUAAGAUUGCAGUGAGCCGAGAUUGCACCACUGCACUCC
rnacentral:lncRNA from 10 species